rnacentral:lncRNA from 1 species
UCUGGACUACCAGUGAAAACCAGCACAACCAAGAGCAAAGCAAUAUGCGUGGUUUCCCUAUGCAUUGCAGAUGCAUAAUACAAGUUUUUCAAAAUUUUUAAAAUUAUCUGUUUCUCAUUCUGUCAAAGUUUUCAAUGAGAGCUUUAAAUUAUUUUUGUCCAAAUGUUGACAUAAAAACAUAUACUAUGUUAUCUUAUGCUAUAAAUUUGACAAUUCAGAUAAAAUGGGCAAAUCCCAAGAAGUGCAAAACUUACUUAAACUGAUUCACAAAGAAAAGUCUUAAUCUGUAUUAAGGGGAGGGUAUCAAACACGAUCAUAUUUAGUGUAUUUGCAGUAAGCCUUGAUAGCUGGAUGUAGGUAAUGGGAA